GGAGAGAGAGGCAAAAAGACGUCUCCAGCAGCUCCCCUACCGACGCCGGCCCCUAGCAAUCCGCCUCCCCUACCCAAUCCCGCUUCUCCCCCUACACAUCGGGGCGGUGGAGGCUUCCCCUAUCGGCCGGCCCGACCAAUCGGUGGCUCCCGGAAGCCUCCUCCCGCCACCACUCUUCCGAGCAGCGCAUGUCCCUCCUAUGUAUUUAACCGACGACCCUUCCGGCGGAAGAACUACGGUCGCAAGCGCAAUAUUAUCUUCUCCCGUGCAAGAAGUAAUUGUGAGACCAUCUCAGAGGAGCAUCCAUAUCUAACACUCACGGGUCCGACCCGUGCUAUUGUGACAUGUAUCGACCCUGGGAACAUCGAGAUCACGCUCAAAGUCAAGGGCGCAACUGAAUCCGACGAUGUAGACCUAAGUUUCAUAGUUUAACAUUGAAAAGCAGUAUGUAUAUUUCUUAUCACGAAGAUUACCCUAGCAAGCGUAGCACGCUCAAGUUAGAUUUCCACCACAUUGGAGGCAACAAUUUGCGUGAGGCUCGAUGUUGGAUCA